rnacentral:rRNA from 1 species
AGGACGAACGCUGGCGGCGUGCUUAACACAUGCAAGUCGAGCGGAAAGGCCACUUCGGUGGUACUCGAGCGGCGAACGGGUGAGUAACACGUGAGUAAUCUGCCCUCCACUUUGGGAUAGCCACCGGAAACGGUGAUUAAUACCGGAUAUGACCUCGCAUCACAUGGUGUGUGGUGGAAAGUUUUUCGGUGGGGAUGUGCUCGCGGCCUAUCAGCUUGAGUGGUGGGGUAAUGGCCUACCGAUGGCUUUCGGACGGUAGCCGGCCGUGAGGAGGGUGACCGGCCACACGUGGGACUGAGACACCGCCCAGACUCCCGUACGGGAGCCAGGC